UACAGAGGGUGCGAGCGUUGUUCGGAAUUACUGGCGUAAAGCGUGCGCAGGCGGUGAUGUAAGACAGUUGUGAAAUCCCCGGGCUCAACCUGGGAACUGCAUUUGUGACUGCAUCGCUGGAGUGCGGCAGAGGGGAUGGAAUUCCGCGUGUAGCAGUGAAAUGCGUAGAUAUGCGGAGGAACACCGAUGGCGAAGGCAAUCCCCGUGGGCCUGCACUGACGCUCAUGCACGAAAGCGUGG
rnacentral:rRNA from 1 species